rnacentral:rRNA from 1 species
UACGGAGGGGGCUAGCGUUGUUCGGAAUUACUGGGCGUAAAGCGCGCGUAGGCGGCUUUGUAAGUUAGAGGUGAAAGCCCGGAGCUCAACUCCGGAACUGCCUUUAAGACUGCAUCGCUAGAAUUGUGGAGAGGUGAGUGGAAUUCCGGGUGUAGCGGUGGAAUGCGUAGAUAUCUGGAGGAACACCUGCGGCGAAGGCGGGUUGCUGGGCUGACACUGACGCUGACAGCGCGAAAGCUAGGGGAGCGAACGGG